AAGGACGUCAAGUCAUCAUGGCCCUUACGGGCCUGGGCUACACACGUGCUACAAAUGGUCGGUACAGAGGGUUGCCAAGCCGCGAGGUGGAGCUAAUCUCACAAAACCGAUCGUAGUCCGGAUCGCAGUCUGCAACUCGACUGCGUGAAGUCGGAAUCGCUAGUAAUCGCGAAUCAGAAUUCGCGGGAUCUUCCCGGCC
rnacentral:rRNA from 1 species